rnacentral:tRNA from 1 species
GUAUUAAAAAUUAAGCUUCUAACUUAAAUUUAAAGCGUAAAUCGUUUAUACUUUU